rnacentral:rRNA from 1 species
AACGAACGCUGGCGGCGUGGAUAAGACAUGCAAGUCGAACGAGAGUCUUUUGGUACUUGUAUUGAAAGACUCUAGUGGCGAACGGGUGCGUAACACGUGGACAACAUUCCGGGAAGCGGGGGAUAGCCCAGGGAAACUUGGAUUAAUACCGCAUGUGGUUCAGCUUGGCAUCAAGCAAGAACUAAAGGUGGGGACCGCAAGGCCUGCCACUUCCCGAUUGGUCCGCGGCCUAUCAGCUUGUUGGUGAGGUAAUGGCUCACCAAGGCAACGACGGGUAGCUGGUCUGAGAGGACGAUCAGCCACACUGGAACUGAGACACGGUCCAGACACCUACGGGUGGCAGCAGUCGAGAAUCAUUCACAAUGGGGGAAACCCUGAUGGUGCAACGCCGCGUGGAGGAUAAGGUCUUCGGAUUGUAAACUCCUGUCAUGUGAGAGUAAGGUCCGUUUGUUAACACCAGACGUACUUGAUAGUAUCACAAGAGGAAGAGACGGCUAACUCUGUGCCAGCCGCCGCCGUAACAC